rnacentral:misc_RNA from 1 species
AGCAAAGCCCCCCCAUUGCAAUGAUCACUAUGAAGUAUAUGCCUCAACUUGCCACAUCAAAAUUAACACAGUACCAAUUUCGAUCACCAUUAGAGCUCCAAUCCAUUAACACAAAGUCACCAAUACAGGUAGAGAUAGAGAUCUGAGAGAAGAUAGAGGAGAUUCCAUUUCGUGUUUGUUUCCAGUAAGGAUAGAAGCAGGCACAGACAGACACACAACUAGAGAGAGAGAGAGAGAGAGAGAGA